AUGUCUGGGGAACAUGCUCCCUCUGAAGGCUUUAGGGGAGGAGACUUCCUUACCUCUUCCUGGCUUCUGCUGGUUGCUGGCAGUCCGUGGUGCACCUUGGCUUAUAGAUGCAUUGUUCCAGUUGCUGCCUCUGUUGUUACAUGGCAUUCUCCCAGUACCUGUUUCUGUAUUGUUCUAGAUGUUGGUGUGGAUCAGGAAUCCUGUCAUUUUUUGCCAUACAGGCUGGAGCUAGGAGAGUUUAUACAGUUGAAGCCAGUUCAGUAGCAUAGUAUGUUGAGGUGAGUGGUUGUAUUAUUUAAGGUAGAUACUAGGUAGGUCUUUAGUAUACUUCAGGGUACCCAGUGAUGGAGUCUUCCAAGUAGGUCAUUUAGAAUAAUCUGUUUUUAACCAGUAAUAUGGCUUGGCUGUGUCUCCACCCCAGUCUCAUAGUGAAUUGUAUUUCCCUUUAUUCCCAUGUGUCAUGGGAGGGACCCAGUGGGAGAUAGCUGAAUCAUGGGAGCAAUUCCACCUAUACCGUUCUCAUGGCAGUAAGUCUCACGAGAGCUGAUGGUUUUAUAAGGGGAAACCCCUUUUGCUUGGUUCUCAUUCUCUCUUGUCUGCUGCCACGUAAGACAUUCCUUUCACCUUCCACCAUGAUUGUGAGGCAUCCCCAGCUACAUGAAACUAAGUCCAUUAAACUUCUUUCUCUUUAUAAAUUACCCAGUCUUCGGUAUGUCUUUACCAGAAAUGUGAAAAUGGACUAAUGAAAUCAGUCUCUAAUUUUUGCUCUAUUGGAGUGUUUCUGCCAAUCAAGCCUGAUUUCCCUGUAGUGAUUGAUAUGAAACAAUUUUUUAAAAAAUGUCACUGAUACUGAAAUGGUAGCAAAACCUUCUCCCUUCCAAUCCACUGGGUGGCAGAUGGAGCUGGGGGCAGAGGAAGGGAGACAUGAAUGUUUUCUUAUCUUUAAUGAUCUGGGUGAGGAGUAAUGUUUCACUGCAGCUAGAUUUAUUGUUUUUCUUUUUAAGUACUGUAAUGACAGUAGCUGCACCACUCACUUUAAAUUCUACUAUUGGUUUAAGGGGCUGUUGCUACAUAGUUGUAAUCAGAGGAAGAGACAGGUGUCUGUGUUUCGAGGCACUUUUUAAGAUUUCAGUUUCUGAUUGGAGGACAGGGAGAUGAUUUGUUUUAAAUGUAGUGCUCUAUUAUCGUUGUGAAAUGUGUACAAAUAUUGUAAAAUAAGUCAAAGUCAAAAUUCACAUAAUCAUGGCUUUCAGUAAUAUUUGGAUGUAAUAACCCAGUCAAACUGCAGAAAUUGGAUAUGUGUGCACCCCUGUGAACAGACUAAUGGGCUUGUCAUUCAUACCUGGAGGAGGCCUGAAUUUUAAUGAGGGGUAGGAUGACAGAUAGAGAGAAAAGCUUGGCUGCUGCUUCAGAUGAGCAUCAUGAAACCCUCCUCCAGCCCCGGACAACUGGUACCUCUGAGUGAUAGUUGCUUUUGGCAUAAGUGAGCAAAGAGGUCAAGAGACAAGUAGACAACUGUGGCAUGCUUGGAGGGAAAGAUUGUCAGAGCCUAAUGGGUGGGUAGGUGGUUGUAUUCUCUUUUCUUCUUCCAGCAAGUCCUGAAGAAAAUAUUUUCAGUUAUUUCUUUCUUUACCAGUUCUUAAAUGUCAUUUUUAUUAAAUAUUGACUACAUAACAAAUAAUAUUUGUACAUAUAUAUUGUGUAAAGAAUAACAAUACAAUGAAUGUGUGCCCACUUUCCCUUUUAAGAAGUAGACCAUUAGCAUUUUCUUUAAAGGCUCAUGUACCUUGCCCUGAUCACAUCCCUUUUUUGCCCUGAACAGAGAUAGUCACUCCUGUGGAUUUUUGUUUAUCAUUCUCCUAUUCUUUAUACUUUUACCACAUAUGUUUCUAUUCCUCAAAACAUCAUUUAUGAAUUUUCCAUGAAUGGACUCAUAACAUAUGCAUUUUCCUGCAAUUUGCUUUUCUUUUCACCCAAUAUUGUGUUCCUGAAGGGCAUCUUUGUUGAUGCAUACAGCUGUUGUUUAUACAAUUUUCGAUGUAUAAACCAUGUAGAGUGUCUCAUGGUAUGCUCUGCUUCCAGUUGUUAGUCCUGUUGGCAGACUUUGGAUGGCUUCCAUUAUGAAAGUAUUGUUAUGAAUAGUUUUGCACAGUCUCCACUGCGUCUUUGCUGAAGUUUCUCAGGCAUACACAGGAGUGGAAUUGUUGGGUCAUAGGGUGUGCAUACCUUUGACUUUGCUAUAUAUAACACCAAAUUAUUUUCCAAAGUGGUUGUGCCCGCUUUUAUUCCCUCCAGCAGUAUAUGUGUACCAUUGUUCUGUGUCUUUGUCAGCACUUCGAUAAUGUCAGACUCUGAAAUUUUUGCCAAUCUAGCGGUUAUGACAGGAUCUUUGUGGUUUUAACUUGUUUUUUUCACUUACUAAUGACUUUGAACAUAUUUGCAAGUAUUUUGGCCAUUCGUGCUUUCUAUUCUAUAAAAUGC
rnacentral:lncRNA from 1 species